rnacentral:tRNA from 1 species
GGGCCGGUAGCAUAAUUGGGAAUGCGCUAGUUUUGCACACUGGAAGAUCGGGUUCGAGUCCCGCCGUGUCCA